rnacentral:misc_RNA from 1 species
GAUGAAGAACGCAGCGAAAUGCGAUAAGUAAUGUGAAUUGCAGAAUUCAGUGAAUCAUCGAAUCUUUGAACGCACAUUGCGCCCUCUGGUAUUCCGGGGGGCAUGCCUGUUCGAGCGUCAUUAUAACCACUCAAGCUCUCGCUUGGUAUUGGGGUUCGCGGUUUCGCGGCCCCUAAAAUCAGUGGCGGUGCCUGUCGGCUCUACGCGUAGUAAUACUUCUCGCGAUUGAGUUCGAUAGGUCUACUUGCCAGUAACCCCCAAUUUUUACAGGUUGACCUCGGAUCAGGUAGGGAUACCCGCUGAACUUAAGCAUAUCAAUAAGCGGAGA